AGUGAACGCUGGCGGUAGGCCUAACACAUGCAAGUCGAACGGCAGCACAGUAAGAGCUUGCUCUUACGGGUGGCGAGUGGCGGACGGGUGAGGAAUACAUCGGAAUCUACUUUUUCGUGGGGGAUAACGUAGGGAAACUUACGCUAAUACCGCAUACGACCUACGGGUGAAAGCAGGGGAUCUUCGGACCUUGCGCGAUUGAAUGAGCCGAUGUCGGAUUAGCUAGUUGGCGGGGUAAAGGCCCACCAAGGCGACGAUCCGUAGCUGGUCUGAGAGGAUGAGCAGCCACACUGGAACUGAGACACGGUCCAGACUCCUACGGGAGGCAGCAGUGGGGAAUAUUGGACAAUGGGCGCAAGCCUGAUCCAGCCAUACCGCGUGGGUGAAGAAGGCCUUCGGGUUGUAAAGCCCUUUUGUGGGGAAAGAAAAGCAGCAGGUUAAUACCCCGCUGUUCUGACGGUACCCAAAGAAUAAGCACCGGCUAACUUCGUG
rnacentral:rRNA from 1 species